UACGGAGGAUGCAAGCGUUAUCCGGAAUUAUUGGGUUUAAAGGGUCCGUAGGCGGGCUGGUAAGUCAGUGGUGAAAGUCUUCAGCUUAACUGGAGAAUUGCCGUUGAUACUGCUAGUCUUGAAUCAUUGUGAAGUAGUUAGAAUGUGUAGUGUAGCGGUGAAAUGCAUAGAUAUUACACAGAAUACCGAUUGCGAAGGCAAGCUGCUAAUGAUGUAUUGACGCUGAUGGACGAAAGCGUGGGUAGCGAACAGG
rnacentral:rRNA from 1 species